GAUGAACGCUGGCGGCGUGCCUAAUACAUGCAAGUCGAGCGAACAGAUAAGGAGCUUGCUCCUUUGACGUUAGCGGCGGACGGGUGAGUUACACGUGGAUAACCUACCUAUAAGACUGGGAUAACUUCGGGAAACCGGAGCUAAUACCGGAUAACAUAUUGAACCGCAUGGUUCAAUAGUGAAAGGCGGCUUUGCUGUCACUUAUAGAUGGAUCCGCGCCGUAUUAGCUAGUUGGUAAGGUAACGGCUUACCAAGGCAACGAUACGUAGCCGACCUGAGAGGGUGAUCGACCACACUGGAACUGAGACACGGUCCAGACUCCUACGGGAGGCAGCAGUAGGGAAUCUUCCGCAAUGGGCGAAAGCCUGACGGAGCAACGCCGCGUGAGUGAUGAAGGUCUUCGGAUCGUAAAACUCUGUUAUCAGGGAAGAACAAAUGUGUAAGUAACUGUGCACAUCUUGACGGUACCUGAUCAGAAAGCCACGGCUAACUACGUG
rnacentral:rRNA from 1 species